rnacentral:rRNA from 1 species
UCUGUUCACGGCCGCGGUAUUCUAACCGUGCGAAGGUAGCGUAAUCACUUGCCCUUUAAAUGAGGGCUAGUAUGAAUGGCAUCACGAAAGUUGUACUGUCUCCUUCCCCUAAUCAGUGAAACUAAUCUCCCCGUGAAGAAGCGGGGAUACUUAUAUAAGACGAGAAGACCCUAUGGAGCUUUAAACCAAGCAUCAACUGCCACUAUAAACCUACAAUUCCAGAAAUAUAAUCUGUACGCUAGCAUAGUGUAAUGCUGGUUUUAGGUUGGGGUGACCACGGAGUAAAAACAAACCUCCGUGCUGAAUCAGGACCUCCUUAAGCAAUAAGCCACAACUUUAUGCAUCAACAAAUUGACAUAAUUGACCCAAUUCUUUGAUCAACGAACCAAGUUACCCUAGGGAUAACAGCGCAAUCCAUUUCAAG